GUGUCAGUUUGGGUCCUCUGGGUCUCUAGAUUGAGUCCCAAGAUAGUUGAAAGUACAAGAGAUGGCUUGGGGGUAACUCCUGUGAAAGAUAAAGAAGCAAAGAAGCAGUAGUCAGGAAAAGCUUUCAGGUCUGACAUGGAUGAAAAGAGAAGAGUCAGAGGGAAGAUUUGAGCAGGAAGAGCCUGGACUGAGAUGCAGCUCUGUGAAAAGUCCCUGCCAGUGCACGGCUUGCCCAUAAAGAACUGCUGGGCAGAGAUGACCGGGCCCUGGUAGCCCUACUGUCUCCCCUCACUGGCUGGGAGCUCCCAGGGAACACAUAUCCAGCUUGAAUGCUGCUGUGGAUCUUGAAGAUGCUGUAGCUAGCGGCUGUCGGCUGACUGCACUCCUCACCACAGGCUCCCUCUUGAAGGGAAACGGAGCAGCACACCCAUGGCUGCCAUAGUCUGCCCCUUGUACCACAUGGAUCCACUUGCCCACACAUCUGGGGAGCAGCUCUUCAGCGAUUCCUUAGUGCAUCUCUCUUUCUCAGGGGAGACUUAGAAGAGUGAGCUUCGUGGAGCAAACUACAACUCCUGUCACUGCAAGUAGUCUCAGGGCCACAACCGGUACUCAUCAUCUCCCUUCUCCACUACUGACAUUCCACUCACCUUUGGCCAUCACUUCUGGACGUCCUGGUAGUGGUGUGUCUCAAACCCUCGUUCCUCUGGAAACUAUGCCCUUCUCAAGCCAGGGCUGAGGCACUAUCCGUUCACAGCUACAAUUAGACAAGGAGUACCAAGAGAUAUCAAAGUGUACCAUCUGAGUUUCACAGAUGUCCUGCCUCCCCCGCUGUGGAACAGCAGUGCUACCUCCUCCUACAGAUAAAGGUCAAUUAACUCUGCCAAUAUGGUGACUCCAACUCCUGCUUUCUAGAUGCAAGGCGUCCAAGGUCCUCAUGUGUCAGUUGGAGCUUACAGUUUAGUGGAACUCUGACUUUGUCCCUCCCCAAAAGUACACCCCUUUGGGGACCAGAGGCUCCAAUGAAUGCUACAGAUUCCAAAGCUGUAGGGAUAGGAAAAACAAAAUUCUACACUGAGUCAUCGAUGAACUGCUUCUUUACUUAAUCCCUCUUUUCUAAAGGGUUUCAAUCAAACAGAUUGAUUUUACAGAAACCAAUUUCCUCGUGAUGUUCUGAUUCAAUCACCCAGUCACUCCUGCCAUUGCCCAAUGGGGUAAUGAAAAAAUGGCCAUAGCAGCAAGGAUAAGAGCUAUGCAUAGACUCAGCAACAUGGACUUCUGCUCACCAAGGUCAGUCUGGCUACAGCCACACCCGACUGCUCAGUCUGCCAACAGCAGCAGCCAAUGCUAUACUUCCAGUAUGGCACCAUUCCCAGAGAAUUGGCCAAAUGCUGAGUGGCAGGUUGAUUAAAGUUUACCUCUUCAAC